ensembl:miRNA
UUGACCAUAAAAAAUAAAUUCUCUGAAUUUCAUCCUUCUUUAAAUUCAUCCAUCAUAUUAUCUAGAAUGGUGAUGGGUGAAUUUGUAGAAGGAUGAGAGUCAAAGAAUCCUU